ensembl:lncRNA novel transcript
CCAUUUCUUCCCACCUUCUACUCCCAGGCUGGAGUGCAGUGGUGCAGUCUCAGCUCACUAUAGCCUCAACCUCCUAGGCUCACAGUGAUCCUCCCACCUCAGCCUCCCAAGUAGUAGUUGGGACUACAGGGAGAAGUUGAAAGAGGGAGGGAAGAGGAGGGAGAAGGCACACGGAAGCGAAAAAUGGAGCCCGGCAUUACCCUCCCCACUUUGCUUGCUAAGCUGCAGUGCAGAAGGCACCACUACUGCGCCCCCCAGCAUGCUUUUUGGAGAGGACUGGAGCACACUGGGACGUUCAUGUGAGAAUCUGCAUGUGCCCCUUUCUGGAAUUUGAGGGAAGUACAUGGACGCAGCCUGCGUCUUGCUCCUACAUUUCCUUAGACAUGUCUGAAAGCCAGAGAGUGGCUGGCUGGAGCAGUUGGUCCCAUCGGGGAAAAGAAGGAACAUGCACAGCAUGAGGGGAAUGGGAGAGAAAGAAGUGACUGCACAAUGCUGCUGUUUCUGUGGCUCCAUGUGACACAAUACACAGGUGGGAGGAUGAGGUGGACAUAGUAGGGAUGCCCAGGCAAUAGCCCGAGCAGUGGAUGCCCCAUCUGGAGAGAGGAAGUCAGGGAAGAGGACUGCCUUCAGGAGACAAAGGAGAUACAGCUAUGUGUCUCUAAGAAUCCUCAUGGAUGAUGGCCAUGCGCAGUGGCUCACGCCUGUAGUCCCCAGCACUUUGGGAAGCUGAGGCGGGUGAAUCACCUGAGGUCAGGAGUUUGAGACAAGCCUGGCCAACAUAGCGAAACCUUGUCUCUA